AUUGAACGCUGGCGGCAGGCCUAACACAUGCAAGUCGAGCGGAGGAAGGGAGCUUGCUCCUGGAUUCAGCGGCGGACGGGUGAGUAAUGCCUAGGAAUCUGCCUGGUAGUGGGGGAUAACGUCCGGAAACGGGCGCUAAUACCGCAUACGUCCUGAGGGAGAAAGUGGGGGAUCUUCGGACCUCACGCUAUCAGAUGAGCCUAGGUCGGAUUAGCUAGUUGGUGGGGUAAAGGCCCACCAAGGCGACGAUCCGUAACUGGUCUGAGAGGAUGAUCAGUCACACUGGAACUGAGACACGGUCAAGACUCCUACGGGAGGCAGCAGUGGGGAAUAUUGGACAAUGGGCGAAAGCCUGAUCCAGCCAUGCCGCGUGUGUGAAGAAGGUCUUCGGAUUGUAAAGCACUUUAAGUUGGGAGGAAGGGCAGUAAGUUAAUACCUUGCUGUUUUGACGUUACCAACAGAAUAAGCACCGGCUAACUUCGUG
rnacentral:rRNA from 1 species